AUGAACUACAUCAAAAGAACCUGGAUGCCUCUCCCGGUUUGUAAUCACACCAAUUCUUCCCAGGUUAGCACCUCCAGUCACCAUGCACAGGUUACCAGUGUCAAAUUUGAUGAAAUCAGUAAUCUUGCCAGUCUCCAAGUCAAUCUGAAUGGUAUCAUUCACCUUGAUGAGGGGAUCAGGGUAACGGAUGGUACGAGCAUCAUGGGUUACCAGAUGAGGGAUUCCUUUUGUUCCCACAAAUAUCUUUCUUACUUUGCACAAUUUAUACUUGGCCUCCUCAGGUGUAAUACGAUGAACAGCAAAGCAACCUGUGGUGUCAUAGAUCAAACGAAAAUUCUCUCCAGUCUUAUCAAUGCGGAUGACAUCCAUAAAACCAGCAGGAUGAAACGAUCCAGAGUCUUUAGCCUCACUUCAGGUUCUCCCCAGGCAUCCAAACAAAGAAUCAGCCAAAGAAGAAGACCCUGUGAUUGGCCAAGUGAAUUGCAGGAUUCGGCUCAUCACUGGGCUGUCAGAUGA
rnacentral:lncRNA from 1 species